GACUGAAAUUGUAGACAAUACGAAAUAGUUAGUGGCGAACGGGUGCGUANNANCGUGGGCANNUGCCGGAAAGUGGGGGAUAACUCGUCGAAAGGCGAUAAUACCGCAUGUGGCCAGGUAAGGCAUCUUACCGAAGACCAAAGCUGGGGCAACCUGGCGACUUUCCGAUGAGCUCGCGUCCUAUCAGCUAGUUGGUGAGGUAACGGCUCACCAAGGCUAUGACGGGUAGCUGGUCUGAGAGGACGACCAGCCACACUGGAACUGAGACACGGUCCAGACACCUACGGGUGGCAGCAGUCGAGAAUUUUUCUCAAUGGGGGAAACCCUGAAGGAGCGACGCCGCGUGGAGGAUGAAGGUUUUCGGAUUGUAAACUCCCUGU
rnacentral:rRNA from 1 species